rnacentral:rRNA from 1 species
UACGGGGGGGGGCAAGCGUUUGUUCGGAAUUACUGGGCGUAAAGGGCUCGUAGGCGGCCAACUAAGUCGGAUGUGAAAUCCCCAGGCUUAACCUGGGAACUGCAUCCGAUACUGGAUGGCUUGAAUCCGGGAGAGGGAUGCGGAAUUCCAGGUGUAGCGGUGAAAUGCGUAGAUAUCUGGAGGAACACCGGUGGCGAAGGCGGCAUCCUGGACCGGCAUUGACGCUGAGGGAGCGAAAGCCAGGGGAGCAAACGGG